CAAUAGCGUAUAUUAAAGUUGUUGCGGUUAAAAAGCUCGUAGUUGGAUUUCUGCUGAGAACGACCGGUCCGCCCUCUGGGUGUGUAUCUGGCUCUUUCUUGGCAUCUUCUUGGUGAACGUUGCUGCACUUGACUGUGUGGAGCGCUACCCAGGACUUUUACUUUGAGGAAAUUAGAGUGUUUCAAGCAGGCAUACGCCUUGAAUACAUUAGCAUGGAAUAAUAAGAUAGGACCUCGGUUCUAUUUUGUUGGUUUCUAGAGCUGAGGUAAUGAUUAAUAGGGAUAGUUGGGGGCAUUCGUAUUUAACUGUCAGAGGUGAAAUUCUUGGAUUUGUUAAAGAUGGACUACUGCGAAAGCAUUUGCCAAGGAUGUCUUCAUUG
rnacentral:rRNA from 1 species